rnacentral:rRNA from 1 species
GAUGAACGCUGGCGGCGUGCUUAACACAUGCAAGUCGAACGAGAAUCAACGGAUUGAGGAUUCGUCCAAAUGAAGUUGAGGAAAGUGGCGGACGGGUGAGUAACGCGUGAGGAACCUGCCUCGGAGUGGGGAAUAACAGUUGGAAACAGCUGCUAAUACCGCAUAAUGCAACGGAAUCGCAUGACUCUGUUGCCAAAGAUUUAUCGCUCUGAGAUGGCCUCGCGUCUGAUUAGCUAGUUGGCGAGGUAACGGCCCACCAAGGCGACGAUCGGUAGCCGGACUGAGAGGUUGAACGGCCACAUUGGGACUGAGACACGGCCCAG